GGAGGUUUCAAGGAAGAACUGGAGCCCAAAUGGAGUCACUUUCCUGCAUCCCUUUCUUCCUGAGAGGAAGCAGGGGAAGGCUUUUUUCUUCCCAUGGGAAUCUCAGUGUGGAGUCUUUGCUGUUUCCAGGGGAUGUGAGCAACAGGUGCACAAGGAGCCUGGGUACCAGCUCCCCGAGCACAGCGAGUAUCUCUCUUCCCUUCUCCACCUUUGCAGGACUAAACAAAUGCUGUUUGAAUACCUAAUGAAUCCAGGUCUCACCCAAAUUGUUAAUGCUGGCAUGAGGAUUUUAGAGAGGAUGCAACCAGGAGCCACAGAACAUGCCAGGCCAUGGAACAUCCUGGACAGCUGAACACUACUUACAUUGUUGCCAUCAAUUUUCUUCAGUCAUCCAAAAU
rnacentral:lncRNA from 1 species